rnacentral:lncRNA from 1 species
UACAAGUAGAUGUUUCAAAUUGCAGUUUCUAUUUUUGUGGCUAAAAAUUAAUCAAAUAUCAUUUAGACCUAUAUAUCGCUAUAAAAAUAAUCUUCAAAAUUUACUCGCUAAUUAAAUGCUUUUAUAGAGAUGGCUACAGCUAAAAACACAAGCAAAAGCGGGCCAGAUAGGCAACAAACACGCACACGUUGGAUAAUUCAAAUGUGACAUUGUGAUUAAUCCAAUUUAACUGUAUAAUUUGUGAUUAAUUAAUUACUGGUUAUGGCUACUGUUAGAACUAAAAAAAUCGAAAAGAUUUAGUUCGUUGAGUACGAAAAUACCAAAAAAGAUCCGAGAAAAAGAGAAGAAAAAUAGAGCACAUAAUAUUUACGUGGUUCGGCCACCGGCCUACAUCCACAGGCGAAGACAGAGCCGAAAUCUUCAUUAUAAUCAAAAUGGUGUACAAAAUAUGCUUUUCUCACAAAACUCUAAUCCCAAAAAUACACCCAUAUUCUCUCUCUUAUCUUUCACACUAAACCAAUGGAAUAAAGAGCAUAUUUAUAAUAGUGACUAAAUCCUAAUACAACUAGGAAUACAAACUCACGGAGAUUAGAAAUAUAUCUCAAUAAAAAUAGGUAUAAUCUAAACUUAACUUCAUGGGACAAUCGAAACAGAAUAAAGUUAGAAAACUUUGCGGUACUCGAAUUCGAGACAUAUUUAACAGCUACCAAGUAAAUUGAUUCAUAUAUAUCUAAGUUGUGUAUUCUAUUUAGACCAACGUGAUAAUCUGAUCGACUGAUCUUAGUUAGUCCAUUCAAACAAACCUAGCUCAUAUUAGUUGGUUUUGAUAAAUAUUUGGUAAUUAUACACCACAUUGGCUGGUUUUGAUAGAUACUUGGUAAUUAUUAUAAAAAGGGUAAAUUACAUAUUUGGUCAUCAAACUAUAUAUCAGGCAGGUGAAAUUUUUUGGUCAUCAAAUUUUAAUUUAUUAUUAUUUUUAUCUCAAACUUCUAGAAUACUGCAAUUAAAUUCCACAAUCUAAUUUAAUUGACUAAAUAUUGACGCAUCGCUAAUAUAGAAAUAAUAUAGUAUUUUAAUUAAUGACGUAUUAUCAUCACAAUAUUAUUACAACACUUCUAUAUUAUAGCAAUACAUCAAUAUUUAGUCAACUAACUUAAAUUAGAGGACUCAAUUGUAACAAUUUUAUAAGUUUAAGCUAAAAAUUAUAAUAAAUUAAAAUUUGAAGGUCAAAUUGCCGUCUACAAUAUAGUUUGAAGACCAAACGUUCAAUUUACCCUUAUAAAAAGUAAGAAAGAAUGUAAAGUACUAUAUAUAUUCAGCAAAUAGGGCACAGUUUGGUUCGGGUAUAAGCAAGAACUAGCUAUUACAGGAAUAGGUACAAGUAUGGGGAUAAGAAAAAUAGCGUUUGGAUGAAAAUUGAGUUGUUUUCGGAGAUAAGAAAAAUAACGUUUGGAUACAGAAUAUGGAAUAAGAAAAAUAGUGGGUAGUUUUAUAUAGAAAAUGGAGGUGUUGGUGGAGAUAGUUAUACCCGGUUAUUAUAGAUAACCGAGAACUACUAUUCUUGAAUAAAAAAUUAGCAUUUUGGUAUAAAGAGGAUAAGGGGUUAUCCCUAUCCCUAUCUCCUAUCCAAACGGUGCCU